UGCCAGCCGCCGCGGUAAUACGGAGGGUGCAAGCGUUGUUCGGAAUUAUUGGGCGUAAAGCGCGUGUAGGCGGUUCGUUAAGUCUGAUGUGAAAGCCCGGGGCUCAACCCCGGAAGUGCACUUGAAACAGCAAGACUUGAAUACGGGAGAGGAAAGCGGAAUUCCUGGUGUAGAGGUGAAAUUCGUAGAUAUUCGGAGGAACACCAGUGGCGAAGGCGACUUCCUGGGCCAAUACUGACGCUGAGGUGCGAAAGCGUGGGGAGCAAACAGGAUUAGAUA
rnacentral:rRNA from 1 species